rnacentral:rRNA from 1 species
AUGGGAAGGCCACGGUCCGGUGCUCUGGGCUACCGCGAGAGCAGCUUUGGCUGGGAGGGAUACUGCUCAGGCGUUUGGUGCGGCGGCAGGGUGCGCAGCUCGCACAUCCAGUUUGGCGGCAGGGCGUUGGCACAGCGCCACCGGCGCCGAGGCAUGCGAAGAACAAGACGGCAACACCGCGGGCCGCCUCGGCGCACAUCGUAG